UAAGGCAAGUUAGCCAACAGUGGAACACAUACAAACUGUACUCAUUUGACAGUUGACCCUGCACAUGCCACAAGAUCAACAGCUUGGCAUUAUGCAGAGUUGUUAUAAUGUUACAGCUGUGAUGUGAACCAAUGGAUAACACACCCAAGACUUUGCCAGAAUUAUGCUGGAACUAUUGUAAAUGAUUAUUUUUUCUGAAAGAUGCAUAACAUACCUUUUCACCUGCAUAGGGGAAAUAAUACAUUUGAUUUGGUUGCAGUAUUUGUGAAAAAUAUGCAGUCUCUGCUUUAACAAAUAUUAUUUUUUAUGUAUUGAUGCCUUUCAGCGCUAAGUUUACAAGCCCAGCAGCAGAUCUUCGUUCUCCUUCCUAAAUUGGUCUAGGUCCCCUCUACAAAGGGAUUUACUGGUUUGAAGGUCAAAGACUUACAUCAUCCAUAAAAUCAAUCAAUGAGGAUGAAGAAGAAGAAGAAAAGGAAUCCUAUUUAACGAACACAGCAGUAAAGAAACAGAAAAAAAUGGAUGAAGAGAACUAUUCUGUAAAAAUAAAUAAUGAUACAGUGUUGCAAAAACAAUUAAAGAAAAACGACUCUCACAUUUCACCAUACAUGACCUUUGAAGAGAAUGGACCAUGAUUACAACUAUUCAAGAACAGGAAGAAGGCAUAGUAAAUCAAACAAUUAUCAUAAAUUAUUAUUGUAACCUAAAAUGAUGUUCAAAAUGUAGAAGGACAAUGGGAUUAAAAGACAGUAUUAACUCCUAAGCAAGUAUGCACACAACCUGCAUGACAGCAAGAAUAAAACAUUUCCAUGAUUGCCAAAGACAU